GGAGUUAGCCGGUGCUUCUUCUGUGAGUGAUGUCCUUCCUGCCGGCUAUUAACCCGCAGGCCUUCUUCCUCACUGAAAGUGCUUUACAACCCGAAGGCCUUCUUCACACACGCGGCAUGGCUGGAUCAGGGUUGCCCCCAUUGUCCAAUAUUCCCCACUGCUGCCUCCCGUAGGAGUCUGGGCCGUGUCUCAGUCCCAGUGUGGCUGAUCAUCCUCUCAGACCAGCUACGGAUCGUCGCCUUGGUGAGCCGUUACCUCACCAACCAGCUAAUCCGACAUAGGCUCAUCCGAUAGCGCGAGGCCCGAAGGUCCCCCGCUUUCCCCCGUAGGGCGUAUGCGGUAUUAGCCUGGGUUUCCCCAGGUUAUCCCCCACUACCGGGCAGAUUCCUAUGCAUUACUCACCCGUCCGCCGCUCGCCACCAGGGAGCAAGCUCCCCGUGCUGCCGCUCGACUUGCAUGUGUUAGGUCGUCGCCGCCACGCGUUCAUACUGAGCCGACGAAGUACGAACCCGUACGACGUAGAGCGGGCGUCGGCGACGGACGGCGACUAG
rnacentral:rRNA from 1 species